rnacentral:misc_RNA from 1 species
AUGGUGUGACGGCCCGAGGUACUUAGUACCCAGUGCUAGUUUAUCCGUUUAUCCAGUCCGGUUAAUUGGUAUAUGUUACUUGGGCAAUUAAAUAAGUCUUAAAAUUUUACAACUAAGUAAUGAAUAUAAAAAUUAUUAAAUUAAAUAUAUUAUAAAUGAUUAUAAAAAAAAUACAGUCUGUGAAAAGUAAUAGCAUAAUUUAUUUGUAUUUAUUUAUUUUGUUUAUUUUUAUUUUAUAUUGGCA